rnacentral:rRNA from 1 species
UACGUAGGCGGUCCGGUAUGUCGGAUGUGAAAGCCCACAGCUCAACUGUGGAAUUGCAUUCGAAACUGCCGGACUAGAGUGCAUGAGGGGACAGUGGAAUUCUUGGUGUAGCGGUGAAAUGCGUUGAUAUCAAGAAGAACACCGGUGGCGAAGGCGACUGUCUGGAAUGCAACUGACGCUGAGGUACGAAAGCUAGGGGAGCGAACA